CGAUUGGGAGGCAGCAGUGGGGAAUAUUGGACAAUGGGGGGAACCCUGAUCCAGCCAUACCGCGUGGGUGAAGAAGGCCUUCGGGUUGUAAAGCCCUUUUGUUGGGAAAGAAAUCCAGCUGGCUAAUACCCGGUUGGGAUGACGGUACCCAAAGAAUAAGCACCGGCUAACUUCGUGCCAGCAGCCGCGGUAAU
rnacentral:rRNA from 1 species